AGUCUGCAACCCGACUACAUGAAGCUGGAAUCGCUAGUAAUCGCGGAUCAGAAUGCCGCGGUGAAUACGUUCCCGGGUCUUGUACACACCGCCCGUCACACCAUGGGAGUCGGAAAUGCCCGAAGCCGGUGACUCAACCUUUAAGGAGAGAGCCGUCGAAGGCAGGUCUGAUAACUGGGGUGAAGUCGUAACAAGGUAUC
rnacentral:rRNA from 1 species